rnacentral:rRNA from 1 species
GAUGAACGCUGGCGGCGCGCCUAAUACAUGCAAGUCGAGCGAACAGACGAGGAGCUUGCUCCUCUGACGUUAGCGGCGGACGGGUGAGUAACACGUGGAUAACCUACCUAUAAGACUGGGAUAACUUCGGGAAACCGGAGCUAAUACCGGAUAAUAUAUUGAACCGCAUGGUUCAAUAGUGAAAGACGGUUUUGCUGUCACUUAUAGAUGGAUCCGCGCCGCAUUAGCUAGUUGGUAAGGUAACGGCUUACCAAGGCAACGAUGCGUAGCCGACCUGAGAGGGUGAUCGGCCACACUGGAACUGAGACACGGUCCAGACUCCUACGGGAGGCAGCAGUAGGGAAUCUUCCGCAAUGGGCGAAAGCCUGACGGAGCAACGCCGCGUGAGUGAUGAAGGUCUUCGGAUCGUAAAACUCUGUUAUUAGGGAAGAACAAAUGUGUAAGUAACUAUGCACGUCUUGACGGUACCUAAUCAGAAAGCCACGGCUAACUACG